UGCUGAAACACCGGUUUUUGUAUGAUCACCGAAGUUAAGCAACACCGUGCCUGGCCAGUACUUAGAUGAGUGACGCUUAGGAAUAUUAGGUAUUGUAA